rnacentral:lncRNA from 1 species
UCUUAUAUGGGGCAUCCCUUUGGUGUAUUUUAGGAUAUGAAAUAAUGGGUGCAAGGGUUCCAAUUAUUGACGUCUAAAGGGUCUCCUAAAGUAAGUUGGAUAACUUAAGUUAUUAGAAAAUCCAAUGCAAGUAGGACUUAUAUUAUGAGAUUGAAUAUGAUUCAAUCCUUAUGCCUAUUUAAAAGUACCUCAUUUAAGAUCCCUAGAGCAUCCAACUAGCAGGCCCCAUAGGAAGUGCCCACUAAAAGAAUAAUGCCCUACAAGCCAAUCGCAUAUUGGAUACGAUAGGGUGUUUAUUGUAAUUAUCUUUCAGACUUAUGUAAUUGACAUUUAUGAUUAAUAAAAUAAGAUAUUUUUGUUUCAUUAUAUACUGCAUCUUAUUUAUUUUAAGAUUAUAAUGAACCCCAUAGGUUUGGACAAUGAUUUUAAGAUUGUGAUGAGAUCAUGCCAGUGAGACCUAAAUCCUUGAUAGCUCUAAACUAAAAUAUUUUUAGUCGUUGGUACAUUGAGUCGGAGAUCAAUGAUACCAGAAAGACUGGCAUGUUCUAUGUAUGCUCAGAAAUGAAGGUGGUUGAUCUCACAACCACUUGUAUGGUGACACUAAUGCAAGGAUAUGGAUGCUCAUUAGAGAAUGAGUUCACUGAAUUGACCUACGAGAGAAUAUCAGAUGGAGUCUUAUUUAUAUGUCAACUGAUGUUUCUCUAGUGAGAGUUGUGUAUGUGAUCCUUAGACCUGAGGUCACUAUAGUACCUUGUGUACUUGGAUCUAUAUUUUGGUUCAUUACCUAACUUGAUUCUCUGAUCCUUGUGUGGGGUGUUCUAGAUAUGGUGAAGAGUGUAUGGAGGUUAUGUGUGAUCAAUAAGGGAUUAGUCACUCCUAAUAAGGGGAGCGAACAUCCUAUGUGAUCUCAAAGGUCGUUGAUUUGGAAGUCUUUGGCCAAAGCAGGAUGAUAAUUAGAAAAAGAUUUCUAAUAUAUCAUCAACUGAAUCAUCGCUUUCUAAUCGAGAUAUAUAAUGAUAAGUAAUUGGAUUUAACAUAUUUUUAUACCCACAACUUAUCUGGGAUGUUAUUUGACUGAAGAAUUGAAUUACACGGGUACUUGCCACUAAAGGGUAUUUUGAUAAUCUUUUAUCAAAAUUUUAAAUCUUUCGAAUAGUCAUGACACAUUGCUAGACGUCAAUAUUGACUUAUAAAUUUGUUAGAAUUAAAAUAAUUUAAUUUUGAAGUCAAUUUGAAAGAGUCCAAGUUGAUUGGGAUUAUUCGGAUGAUCUAAUCUCAUCGGAUUAGGGUUACGUCGAGAGUCUUGAUCUACUGCUGGCUAGAUUUGGAAUCCAAUGGGUCACACACUUUAGAAUUUGGCCUUGAUCUGAUUUAAUUAGAGUUUAAUAUAAAUUCUAUGGGUUAAUUUGAUAUACUAGCAUAUUGUAUUAACCCAAGUUUCUAAAUUGGUUUAGAUCAAAAUGUUUCAGCUAACUUAGACUAGUUGUCUUUGACCUAAUGGGAUUAGGUCAAUUUGAAUUGGAUCCUUAUCCAACUUGGACUAGUUUCAAUUGGAGAAGGACUCCUCUAUGCCCACCAGAACCCAUGCAAAAAAUAAGUACCGCCCCUUUACUUUUGGCAUGUGAAAGGAAGAGUCCUUAAAGAAGGCUCUUAAUUUUUACGCGUUGCCAUAAUUUUCCAACCAGAUCUCCUAUGUUUUGAUACCAAAAUUAAUUAAAUUUUUUAUGACACAUAGAGAAGAAAGAGUCCUUCUACUACAAGUAUCUAGAACACUAAAAAUUCACUCAGUGAAUUUAUUUGACUCAUGAGAAGUUUGAGCGCCAAAGAUUGGCACCUCUUCAUCCCAUGUGACAUCCCUUGGUCCCCUAUUUAUAAGGGAUGCCCCAUAUGAUUUUCUAUUAAUAUUUUUAGGUAAAAUCAAAGAGAAGAGAUGUGGUAAAUAUAAAAAAAAAUUAGAAAAAUUUUGAGAAAAAAAAAGGAGAAUUUGAGUGUCAAAAGUUGAAAGAAGGGUGGUGAGAUUUUCAGUAAGUGUUGCUUGAGUGCCCUAGGAUUUGAUUUUUUUAUAUGUUGGAGCCAAAAAUUAAAUCUUAGAUUGUGUAACAUCUGAGGAGUAUCUUCUUGGUGUCAUUUUGGUGGCAAGAUCAAAAGCAAUUGGGCUUUGACAUGAUCAUGAUACAAGUUCGAAGCCGGUAGUAUUUUUAAGAAGACAAGGCUGCAGCAGUGCACCGGCUGGG